UGAAACUCUUUAUUUAAAAAUCAAGCUGAAUUUCAGUUAAACAAAACCAUCCCAUCAUAUGAAUAACUUUCUUAGGUAAAACAAGGUUUAUUUUCUUUCUAUACAACUGACUCUGAAUUGAGCUAGAAAUUUCCAAGGAGGAAAAUGAUCUAGGAAACAACUUUAGAAAAAAAGGGCUAAGUUUCCGUUAUGAUAGCUUUUGACUUGUUUUCAGCUCUUAAAAAAUUAUUUACGAACGAUGGAUACACGUUCUAAUGCAGAAGUAUUUUAGAAUUAGAGAGUAAAAGAAACCUACUACCUUCCUUUACAUCAGGUCCCUUCUACCAUCCUACCCGAUUGUUUGAGACAACCACUUCUUAUCUCGACAAUUCACAACUCUUUUAUUAGCUAUCUUAAAAAAAUUUAUUACUGGCAUCAAUUAGCCUGAGUCAUGAAACCGGACCACAUUAAGGGCGACACAUGGUCCAAUCACUGUUUGUAAAAGUCCACGUAUUUCAAACUCCUCUCUCCUGCCACUGCUGGGCUGUUUCCCUCUUUGAGGACCUGGUCUCCGCAGCAUUUAUUCAUUAGAUGGCAGUCCUAGGGGAGUCUCGCUUUGGGGAAACCUCUCCUCCUGCACAUUCAAGAAAACAACCGCGGAGACUUAGGGUCGGUACUGGUUUCCAGUCACUUACGUAGCAAACGAAGCAAGAGGAACGUGCCUGGGAGGACCCGAGACAGCUGCAAGAAACAAUGAAGCU
rnacentral:lncRNA from 1 species